rnacentral:lncRNA from 1 species
GAAAAGGGCGACACAAUGCGACGUUGUUGCCAUUGGAUGAACAGCCUUGUACUACAUACAAGUGCGUCGAGCUUUCUGUCCCAAACCGUCCGAAAGCAAACAUGUUCCAAGCACGUGCAAUUCUCGGAAAGUUUCGCGACUGCGCAGCUGUCUCUCUUUUUAAUGUUUUUUUAGUACAAAAAACCAAACUGUCGUUGGAGCAGCACCAGCGGCAGCAAUGAAGCCGAUGUCUGCCAUUACGCGAGACUCUGUCGGACGCGGAACGUACGAACCUACUUUCGGGUGUGUUUUUGGGGCGUUGCACAUGAUGCAGUGAUGCAGGCAGUGGUGUAUUCGGUUAUAAAUGCGGGUUAUGUUAGCAGUAUGCUGAAGCUUUUGUGCGCAUGAAGUAGCAGGACCUCCGAGCGGCGACACGCAGCAAUGCACAAACACUGAAGCUCGAAAGGGCCACAGCGAAAGCGUAUCCCACGGCGCAACCGUGCUGGACGCAUCUAUCAAGCUGCCGUUUCCUCGACGCGAACUGCGAGCGCGCGCGGCGUCUUGAGCGCAGCAGCCUACCAGGACAGCACAUGCACCUCCCUGACCCAGACGAAAAACCGCCCCACGGAUGGCUGUUCCGGCUCGAAUGCCGUCUCCUGCUGCAGCCGUGGCCUCUUCUCGAAGACUCCCUCCGCGGCCAAGUGUCGUGAACGAUUCAUCUUGCUUCGGCCUCUCGCCUACCAGCCGGCACCGAGGGAGGGAUGCCCCUUGCUAUCUCGGCAUGGAAGCGGAGGCGAAUGAAGCCGAGCAACCUCGACUCAAGCCGAGCCAAGACAAGAGUAGCAUCGAACGCCGCAAAGGGAACGAUCCUCGCCCCAGCCAACCCCGGUGACGAAGGAGGCGGGCCAUGUCGACCUUUUUCCUGCCCCCCUUUAAAAGUGAGCGGCGGCGCCAGCUUGCCUGCAGCUGUAGACCGACGACAGUGACGACCUUGCCCGUGCUUGCCGACCGAGGCGACGGCGGUCCCGGCAACGCCUGUGAGUGCAUGCACUGUCGUGCACGUUUAAUUAAUGCCGUGUAAAUGGAGAAAUAAAAGCCUAAAGGUUUGUCAAUAAA